rnacentral:rRNA from 1 species
AACGAACGCUGGCGGCAGGCUUAACACAUGCAAGUCGAGCGCCCCGCAAGGGGAGCGGCAGACGGGUGAGUAACGCGUGGGAAUCUACCCAUCCCUACGGAAUAGCUCCGGGAAACUGGAAUCAAUACCGUAUACGCCCUACGGGGGAAAGAUUUAUCGGGGAUGGAUGAGCCCGCGUUGGAUUAGCUAGUUGGUGGGGUAAAGGCCCACCAAGGCGACGAUCCAUAGCUGGUCUGAGAGGAUGAUCAGCCACAUUGGGACUGAGACACGGCCCAAACUCCUACGGGAGGCAGCAGUGGGGAAUAUUGGACAAUGGGGGCAACCCUGAUCCAGCCAUGCCGCGUGAGUGAUGAAGGCCUUAGGGUUGUAAAGCUCUUUCACCGGGGAAGAUAAUGACGGUACCCGGAGAAGAAGCCCCGGCUAACUUCGUGCCAGCAGCCGCCGUAA